UGGCAAAAAAUAUUCCAUCAUUCAAGGAGCAUUUACAAGAUCACAGUGCUUUAUAAAAAUUAGUCUUACAUACAUUCAAAAAGCCAACAAAUUAAACAGAGACAAUUGGGUAGUUCCCGGAAUCUAUUUGAUACUGCCAUGGAACACAUAAGCGUAGCAAGGCACGCGUUGGUUAAACGUUUGGAGUGUAAUAAGGACACAAUAUUGAUUGAAAGUGAUCGGGCAGCGGUAAUGAAGGAUCGUUACCCCAAGGCACAAUAUCAUUUUCUUAUUGUAUGCAAAGAAGAUAUUGCAAAUGUGUCUUUAUUAAAACAGGAGCACAUUCCGCUUUUGGAUCAUAUGAUGGACCUUGCCAAUCAAAUCAUUGAGCAGCAAAAUCACUUGUCAUCUAGUAAUUUUCUUGUGGGCUUCAAAAUGGAUGCAUUUAUGGAUCGGCUAAGCAUGCAUGUGAUAUCAAAUGAUUUCUAUUCUGUUUCGUUUAAAAAAGUAUCGCAUUGGAAUAGCUUCCACUCAGAUUUGUUUCUUACCUAUCAGGCUGCUUAUGCACUUCUACGCUCACAAGGCUGCAUUGAGCCACUUUCUAAGGAAAAAGCAUUAGAAUUGCGAUCUGUCACAACACUGCAGUGUAAUCAAUGUGAAUUUAAGACCAGCACAUUAUUCGAAUUAAAAGGUCAUCUGUAUAAACAUUGGAAUGAUCGUGAACACGACAUUGAAGUCAAGAAGCAACUGGAGAAGAUCACUCAAAUGCUUGAUGAAUCAAAAUUGGAUGAGCAAGAAAGCAACGUCGAACGUCCUAAAUCACCAGAGGAUUCGAAACCGCACUCAACACAGUGGCGUUCAAAUCCAUCUGAUCAAAAUCAAACUAACGUUAACAGCAGAGAGACAAAACCCACGUCAGCCAAUUGGCGCCAGCGUCCAAAUCAUGUGCCAAACGAUUGCGAGCAACAGCAGUCAACGCUGCCGUAUGAAAACCACUUUGAGAGGCAUUUCCAGAACUAUGCAAUCAGAACAAUCAAUCAGCCAUAUUUGCAUCCUCUGCUUGGGCAGAGCCUAAUGGGACCACCUCCACCUUUUGCUCAGGGCAAUUAUUAUCAAAGCUUUAACCAAUUUCAACAACCGCAACCCCGCAUGUUGAAUGCUAAUAACACUAUUAACCAACAGAAUUAUAUGCGAUUUCUUGCACCGCAGUCAACUGAGUCGCCUCCCCGGUUCAAUCCAUUUAAGCAGACACCAAACAUGGCCAACUUCAAUCGAUAUCAAUGCCCAGUCAAUUCUACCAAUCGUCAGAAUGUAACCAUCCACGAUAAACCCAGGUGGAAUCCAAAGCCUCAGUAUAAACAAAAUCAGCCUGGUGCCGAUUCACCUGGAAAUAGUUCAAAUAGAUUGCCAUCUGAAGCGAAUGAAGCCAAGCAAACUAAGCCUAAGCCUCAACAGAAGCAGAACGCAAAUGCUAAAGCUGAUAUUUGCAAUAACUCCACAGUACUGAAGGAACAACCAAACAAAGCUAACCAAAACAAACCCAAGUGGAAACCUAAAGCUCAACAUAGUCAAGGGCCAAACAAUAACUUAAACAAAUCUGCAGGCAACAAAUCAGCGAAUCCAACAAAGUUACAGCAUAAAUAAUGUUACAUUAUAUACAUACAUAAGAAAAUAUGUAUUCAGUAAAUAUAUUUAUGUACAUAUGUACAUAUGGAGCUUUUGUACAACUGGUCAGAGUAGAAAUAUGAUAUCAUUUGAAGAGCAAAGUGCUGCAUCAGCUAAUUAACAUUGUUCUUUAUGCUCUGGCGACAUUUUAUGGCACGUACUUGAGACGCAGAAAGAAGUAUCGAUA